rnacentral:misc_RNA from 1 species
GAUGAAGAACGUAGCGAAAUGCGAUAAGUAAUGUGAAUUGCAGAAUUCAGUGAAUCAUCGAGUCUUUGAACGCACAUUGCGCCCCCUGGUAUUCCGGGGGGCAUGCCUGUCCGAGCGUCAUUGCUGCCCUCAAGCACGGCUUGUGUGUUGGGCCCCCGUCCCCGGUUUCCCCCGGGGACGGGCCCGAAAGGCAGCGGCGGCACCGCGUCCGGUCCUCGAGCGUAUGGGGCUUUGUCACCCGCUCUGUAGGCCCGGCCGGUGCCAGCCGACACCCAACUUUAUUUCUAAGGUUGACCUCGGAUCAGGUAGGGAUACCCGCUGAACUUAAGCAUAUCAAUAAGCGGAGGA